GGAGCUUGCUCCUUUGAAGUUAGCGGCGGACGGGUGAGUAACACGUGGGUAACCUACCUAUAAGACUGGCAUAACUCCGGGAAACCGGGGCUAAUGCCGGAUAACAUGUUGAACCGCAUGGUUCAACAGUGAAAGACGGUCUUGCUGUCACUUAUAGAUGGACCCGCGCCGUAUUAGCUAGUUGGUGGGGUAACGGCCUACCAAGGCGACGAUACGUAGCCGACCUGAGAGGGUGAUCGGCCACACUGGAACUGAGACACGGUCCAGACUCCUACGGGAGGCAGCAGUAGGGAAUCUUCCGCAAUGGGCGAAAGCCUGACGGAGCAACGCCGCGUGAGUGAUGAAGGUCUUCGGAUCGUAAAGCUCUGUUGUUAGGGAAGAACAAAUGUGUAAGUAACUGUGCACGUCUUGACGGUACCUAACCAGAAAGCCACGGCUAACUACGUGCCAGCAGCCGCGGUAAUACGUAGGUGGCAAGCGUUAUCCGGAAUUAUUGGGCGUAAAGCGCGCGUAGGCGGUUUUUUAAGUCUGAUGUGAAAGCCCACGGCUCAACCGUGGAGGGUCAUUGGAAACUGGAAAACUUGAGUGCAGAAGAGGAAAGUGGAAUUCCAUGUGUAGCGGUGAAAUGCGCAGAGAUAUGGAGGAACACCAGUGGCGAAGGCGGCUUUCUGGUCUGCAACUGACGCUGAUGU
rnacentral:rRNA from 1 species